GAUGAACGCUGGCGGCGUGCUUAACACAUGCAAGUCGAACGAUGAAGCCCAGCUUGCUGGGUGGAUUAGUGGCGAACGGGUGAGUAACACGUGAGUAACCUGCCCUUAACUCUGUGAUAAGCGUGGAAAACUGGGUCUAAUACCUGAUAGGAGCGUCCACCGCAUGGUGGGUGUUGGAGAGAUUUAUCGGUUUUGGAUGGACUCGCGGCCUAUCAGCUUGUUGGUGUGGUAAUGGUACAGCAAGGCGACGACGGGUAGCCGGCAUGAGAGGGUGACCGGCCACACUGGGACUGAGACACGGCCCAGACUCCUACGGGAGGCAGCAGUGGGGAAUAUUGCACAAUGGGCGCGAGCCUGAGGCAGCGACGCCGCGUGAGGGAUGACGGCCUUCGGGUUGUAAACCUCUUUCAGUAGGGAAGAAGCGAAAGUGACGGUACCUGCAGAAGAAGCACCGGCUAACUACGUG
rnacentral:rRNA from 1 species